rnacentral:rRNA from 1 species
GCCUUGAGGUGGGGGACAACCAUUGGAAACGAUGGCUAAUACCGCAUAAUGUCUACGGACCAAAGGGGGCUUCGGCUCUCGCCUUUAGAUUGGCCCAAGUGGGAUUAGCUAGUUGGUGAGGUAAAGGCUCACCAAGGCGACGAUCCCUAGCUGGUUUGAGAGGAUGAUCAGCCACACUGGAACUGAGACACGGUCCAGACUCCUACGGGAGGCAGCAGUGGGGAAUAUUGCACAAUGGGCGCAAGCCUGAUGCAGCCAUGCCGCGUGUGUGAAGAAGGCCUUCGGGUUGUAAAGCACUUUCAGUCAGGAGGAAAGGUUAGUAGUUAAUACCUGCUAGCUGUG